rnacentral:rRNA from 1 species
UGAGUAUAGUGGCGCACGGGUGAGUAACACGUGAAUAAUCUACCCUCGAGUGGGGAAUAACUGAGAGAAAUCUUAGCUAAUACCGCAUAACACUUACGAGUCAAAGCAGCAAUGCGCUUGGGGAGGAGUUCGCGGCAGAUUGGUUAGUUGGCGGGGUAAUGGCCCACCAAGACGAUGAUCUGUAUCCGGCCUGAGAGGGCGCACGGACACACUGGAACUGAAACACGGUCCAGACUCCUACGGGAGGCAGCAGUGGGGAAUUUUGCGCAAUGGGGGAAACCCUGACGCAGCAACGCCGCGUGGAGGAUGAAGUAUCUUGGUACGUAAACUCCUUUCGAUGGGGAAGAUAAUGACGGUACCCAUAGAAGAAGCCCCGGCUAACUUCGUGCCAGCAGCCGCGGUAAUACGAGGGGGGCAAGCGUUGUUCGGAUUUAUUGGGCGUAAAGGGUGCGUAGGCGGUUUGGCAAGUCUUAUGUGAAAUCUAUGGGCUCAACCCAUAGUCUGCAUGAGAAACUACCGGGCUUGAGUAUUGGAGAGGUGAGUGGAAUUUCCGGUGUAGCGGUGAAAUGCGUAGAUAUCGGAAGGAACACCUGUGGCGAAAGCGGCUCACUGGACAAUAACUGACGCUGAUGCACG